CAGUCGCCGCGGGAAUACAGAGGGUGCGAGCGUUAAUCGGAUUUACUGGGCGUAAAGCGUGCGUAGGCGGCUUUUUAAGUCGGAUGUGAAAUCCCCGAGCUUAACUUAGGAAUUGCAUUCGAUACUGGGAAGCUAGAGUAUGGGAGAGGAUGGUAGAAUUCCAGGUGUAGCGGUGAAAUGCGUAGAGAUCUGGAGGAAUACCGAUGGCGAAGGCAGCCAUCUGGCCUAAUACUGACGCUGAGGUACGAAAGCAUGGGGAGCAAACAGGAUUAGAUACCCCCGUAGUCCCUGUCUCUUAUAA
rnacentral:rRNA from 1 species